rnacentral:snoRNA from 1 species
CCCCUUCUCAUGAUGAAGCAUUUUUCGGAUGUAAAGUGUCCUACGGGACCGAUGUCCGAGAGCGCAAAAAAGUGUGGACACCUCCGUUGCCUUCCUUCUGAUCUCUACU